rnacentral:rRNA from 1 species
UAGGGAAUCUUCCGCAAUGGACGCAAGUCUGACGGAGCAACGCCGCGUGAGUGAAGAAGGUUUUCGGAUCGUAAAGCUCUGUUGUUAAGGAAGAACGAGUGUGAGAAUGGAAAGUUCAUACUGUGACGGUACUUAACCAGAAAGGGACGGCUAACUACGUGCCAGCAGCCGCGGUAAUACGUAGGUCCCGAGCGUUGUCCGGAUUUAUUGGGCGUAAAGCGAGCGCAGGCGGUUAGAUAAGUCUGAAGUUAAAGGCAGUGGCUCAACCAUUGUAGGCUUUGGAAACUGUUUAACUUGAGUGCAGAAGGGGAGAGUGGAAUUCCAUGUGUAGCGGUGAAAUGCGUAGAUAUAUGGAGGAACACCGGUGGCGAAAGCGGCUCUUUGGUCUGUAACUGACGCUGAGGCUCGAAAGCGUGGGGAGCGAACAGG